GAUGAACGCUGGCGGCGUGCCUAAUACAUGCAAGUCGAGCGAACAGACGAGGAGCUUGCUCCUCUGACGUUAGCGGCGGACGGGUGAGUAACACGUGGAUAACCUACCUAUAAGACUGGGAUAACUUCGGGAAACCGGAGCUAAUACCGGAUAAUAUAUUGAACCGCAUGGUUCAAUAGUGAAAGACGGUUUUGCUGUCACUUAUAGAUGGAUCCGCGCCGCAUUAGCUAGUUGGUAAGGUAACGGCUUACCAAGGCAACGAUGCGUAGCCGACCUGAGAGGGUGAUCGGCCACACUGGAACUGAGACACGGUCCAGACUCCUACGGGAGGCAGCAGUAGGGAAUCUUCCGCAAUGGGCGAAAGCUUGACGGAGCAACGCCGCGUGAGUGAUGAAGGUCUUCGGAUCGUAAAACUCUGUUAUUAGGGAAGAACAAAUGUGUAAGUAACUAUGCACGUCUGGACGGUACCUAAUCAGAAAACCACGGCUAACUACGU
rnacentral:rRNA from 1 species